AAGAGGACUUCGAGGGAACUCCCGGCGAAGCGUCUUAGAGCUAAUUUCUCAAACUUUGACUUUUGAUACUUGGUUUGGAAGUGGAAGUUCUGAGGCUUAAUUAGUGACCCCC